UGCGCAGGUGGGAAUGUAAGUCAGUGGUGAAAUACUGCCGCUUAUCGGUAGAAUUGCCAUUGAUACUGCAUUUCUUGAGUAUGGUUGAGGUAGGCGGAAUGUGUCGUGUAGCGGUGAAAUGCAUAGAUAUGACACAGAACGCCGAUUGCGAAGGCAGCUUACUAAGCCAUUACUGACACUGAGGCACGAAAGCGUGGGGAGCGAACAGGAUUAGAUACCCUGGUAGUCC
rnacentral:rRNA from 1 species